GAUGAACGCUGGCGGUGUGCCUAAUACAUGCAAGUCGAGCGAACGGACGAUAAGCUUGCUUCUCUGAUGUUAGCGGCGGACGGGUGAGUAACACGUGGAUAACCUACCUAUAAGACUGGGAUAACUUCGUGAAACCGGAUCUAAUACCGCAUGAUAUUUUGAACCGCAUGGUUCAAAAGUGAAAGACGGUCUUGCUGUCACUUAUAGAUGGAUCCGCGCUGCAUUAGCUAGUUGGUAAGGUAACGGCUUACCAAGGCAACGAUGCAUAGCCGACCUGAGAGGAUGAUCGGCCACACUGGAACUGAGACACGGUCCAGACUCCUACGGGAGGCAGCAGUAGGGAAUCUUGCGCAAUGGGCGAAAGCCUGACGGAGCAACGCCGCGUGAGUGAUGAAGGUCUUCGGAUCGUAAAACUCUGUUAUUAGGGAAGAACAUAUGUGUAAGUAAAUGUGCACAUCUUGACGGUACCUAAUCAGAAAGCCACGGCUAACUACGUG
rnacentral:rRNA from 1 species